GAGACAGCACUAAGUUUACCUCUUGGAGAGCAGCGGGCAAACAACAAACGAUAAAGGACAUUCCUACUUGGUCUUUGAACACACACAGAAGAAUUGGAGAAACUGAGGAGGAGUUUCAACAUCUGGAGAAGCAGUUGGAAAUUGAGAAGAUCCGGGCAGCAAAGAGGUCACAGUAUCCACCCAGAUACAAUCUGUAUCCAGACCAGAUGCUGGAUCAGCACUUAGAGACGACCUCUACAACCAUGAAUGUCAUUGUAGACCAUGUCAACUAGAUGAGCCCUCGAGAAGACCUUGUCACCUAGACGGCCAUCAGCACAAGACCACAGGAACCAGCACAUUGUCCUCUGCACAAUCUGACUUUUGUUGCAGCCUGGAAUCAAACCACACCAUUUUCCAGAGGAGACACAAUCUGAAUUGUAUAAAGCACUAUAUAAAUAAGGUGACUCAUGCACUGAUUAAUUUGCAGUGGUUUCCUAAAGGAUUAUAAGUCAGAAAACAAAAAGUAGGAACUGGAAGAGGUGGAUAUUUACCUAGGAAGAAAAACUUGAAAAUGACUCAGUUUUUUAGUGAAGAAAACAGUUUAUUGCACAUGCAGCUUGUGAGCGACUGCAGGUCAAGAACUUUUAGAUCUAUGUAUCCAUACCAAUAUAAAAAUAUGGAGUCCCUUUUUUGAUGGGAGGCCUGGGUACUGAUGGAAGGCUAGAAACGCUCCUGUAUGUGAAUAUAUACGUAGAAACUUGUGCAUGUGGAUGAGAGAAAGAGAAAGCAAAAAAAAGAAAAAGGCUGGGUGCCUUUAAGAGAUGAAGACUCCUGGCUCAUCGCCCAUUCUCCAAUCUGCUGAUGAUGAGGCCUGUGAUGAGGAAAGAACGGGGAUCCAUUUUUAGCGAUGAGUUCAUCCUUUAUGGCAGGGAAAAAAAAAGAAAAAUAGUGCAGCCAUAAAAAAAGUGCAGUCCAUGUGCUCCUGAUAUUCUGUCUGCCGGCACCUGACAGCAAGUCGCAUCUGCACUUAUCUGAAUUCAGCCAUCAAUGAAGAGUGAACACAUACUGCUUAAGACAAUAAUUAAAAUAAUGACUGACCUUAGGGAACAGUGAGGAAUGUAUUUCUGAAUGUGAACCUCUUCCAAAAGGGUCUACACAUCACCUAGCUGUUUAAUUUUUGAAUGAAGAACAAAACAAAACAAAACAACAGUUAGGCCUAUAGUUUUUAUAAUUGGUUAAAUAAUAGAAUAAAGUUGCAAGAAGCAAUUAUCA
ensembl:lncRNA